GAAGACAUUAUUUGAAUGAACAGCCCCGACCUCAAGGCACAUCUCAGCUGGCUUGCCAGCACUUCUGCAACCUCGUGUGGAAGAGCGGUCCAAACUUCAUGGAAACUAACCAAUGACCUUACCUCUCUCAUAAGGGUGUGAGGACUGCUCACCUAUCAGGAAACCACAAGAUUUCAAAACUACCAUGAGGAGAACCAGAUCACAUGCCACUGAAAAGUGCGCCCUGGAAGUUGGCACAACCACCUCCUGGAUGACCUCACUCCUGGCCAGGAGGGCCUCUGUGAAACUCUAGGCCCAGCAGUGCUUGACUUGACAUGCUGGGUCUGGGUUAGCCAGAGGCACAGCCUCCAGAGGCAUGGCGACAAUGAGGGUCUGCUCUUUGAGGAGAUUGGAGAGCUGGCACCGUUCUCCAAGGGACUACAUGGGAACAGCUUCUGCACAGAUCUUGGUAUCUCCUAAUUCUCAUGCCAGGGUCCCCUGAAGCCAAGGCACACCUUGCUGCAUGGAGGCCCAUCCUGAACAUCACAGUGAGCAUGAAGGAUGGAGGAUGUCAACUACAAGGCCCUUCAUUCACACGUCCCUUCCCACCCCAAUCCCACCCUCCAAUAAGAGCUUUGGUAGCCAGGCUGGCAGAUCACAUUUCCCCAGUGCUAGAGCUGAGAGAAGCAAGCUAAGACAAAACAUCUUGAGAAGAACUUAAAUAAUAGCCAGAGGGAUGCCAGAGCAAAAGCUAAGGAAAUUACAGGUAGCCAGAAACUAUAGAAAAGAGAGGAAAGGGAGAGGAUGUGAAAUGUCAGAGGAGAGGCAGAAUCUUACAAAUGUCCCAAGCAGAGAAAGGAGGUGUCACUUUCUUGGGUGUGUCUGACCUGGUUGUGGGCAGACAGGAGAGAAGGAGCUAAUGUCACCAAGCUGGCCCCAACACCUCCUUCCUCCAUGCAAAUGGAAGACUGAAAUCAGACUGGUCUGCAAUAGGCCACCCAGAGGCUUGGCAGUUUGAAAAAGUAGAUCUGAUUGCUAAAUGUGGAACUGAGUAUUAUACAAUCUGAGCUGGUCCAGUGAAAUCAGCACUUCAAUAUUCACGAGGGAGGUGUCUACCACCCUAGAGGAAAGUCUUAAUUGUGCAAAGAGGCAGAUGUGAGAGACCCAGAGUUGGGCCACCUUGUCCUAGGCCAUUUCCCCACAUUUCAACUUUUAGCAUGGGCUCUCCCACCACCCUCCAUGAGAAAAGGCACCUCCUUCCUCCCCUCAUCCCACCCCUUCCCAAUGCACUGCAUAGGUGAGGGAGGCAACAGAGCCAUGCCCAGUCCUAGAACAGAAAUGUGGACCAAGCAUACCGCAUUCAAACCCUGGAUGCGCACUAGUGAAAGAUUCAUUGAUUGUUUGUUGAAGGUGCAGCCAGAGGACAGGCCCAGGGGCCACUCCCCAGGCCAGCUGUGCCAGGCAGCACCUGCUGCCACACCACUGUCUUCUGCUCCAGCCCCUCUGGAGCCUAUGUCUUGUUCAUUGUUAUGGAAGCUCUUUCAUGCCACAGACAAAGAACCUUAACAAUCACAACUGACUUCUUUGUUAAUGGCAGUUUAUUGUUGUUAAAUUAAUAUUCCGGUUCUCACAUGAUCAAAUUCUCUGACUAGAAUCCAAGAAUAUAUUAUAAUCUAUAUUUUCUCAGAACCAGAGAAGAAAAGGUAGGAGAAUAAUUCUUAAUAGCAGGUCAACUUCUUCUCUGUCAAAGAACUCACAUGAUGGUGAUUUCCAGUGGACAGAGAAUUAAACAGGACCCAGGUGUCCAAGUGAAGCUCUGCAGGUAGAACCCCAGUGCCGAAGUCCACAUGGACACGGAGCCACCUAGCACUGGCAGCCGCCCAUUCUCUGGCAGGAAAUGAAGGAGAGAAGACCAAAGGCAAGACUUCUUCCAGAGACUCCAGCAAGCCACUGUACCAACUAUGCCUUAUUCAAAUGGUGUGCAGUAUAUUCUUCAUUAUAAUAAAAGGUCUACCCAUACAAUCACCCAGAGAGGUAACUAUUUUUACUAGUUGACAAAAAAAAGAGUAAGAAAGUUGAAAUCAUAAAUUCAGUUAAUAAAAUGUAUGACCUAGAUUCUAUAGCACAUGCUAGAAGGGGGAUCAAAAAUCUAGAUCCACGCUAGCAGCCAGUAAAAAAAGAGAGGCACAAUCAGUUAACAGGAUCCGCAGAUCAGUAUGGUAAAAUCAAAUCAAUUGCCUAGGAGAAGCAUAAUUAUUCCGGAGCAAGGGAGAAACUUCACGUUUUCAUAGACAGAUUUUGUGUGAUGGGAUCAGCAAUAUCCAUGACACCCUUAUAGUAAACAGAGCCCAGUAGAACUCAUUACUUUUGUGUGAUGUUCUCAGAAUAGUUCAGAGGCUAGUGGACAAUAUGGGCCAAAGGUGAAAGCAAUUCCAUGGAGACUAAUAUAAUAUGGUCCAGGCACAGUGCUGUAAAUACACAGCAAGCACCUUGUGCUCAACAUGUGCCAGGCACUGUUCAGAGCACUUUGACAUAAUGUUUGAGUUUCUUACAAAAUGUUUCUAUUGAGUAAUUAAAAUAUAUUUGAAAAUCUAGAAGCACUGUUAGAGGACCUAGAACAGUGGUUCCUCAUAUUUGCCCCUCCUAUAACAGAUUCGAGGAGCCAACUCCUUUCCUAGCAGGCAUACUGGUCCAUACAGCAGUGGUGUGCAUGGCAGACAGGUCCCUCCCCCACCCCAAUCACUGUUCUAGAGGAACAGUGCAUCUUCCUCUUCUACAGGUCCUUCAAAAUCACCGUUCUCCAGCAAGCUUUUUAAAGGUAAACAGCAGUGAAAGAUAAUGUUCCAGAUGGAAACCCACAGUAUCACUAUCCUUUGCUUUUGAUGAAGUCAGAGCCAUGUGUUUUCAUGAUCUAUAUAGGACUAGGAUGUUAAAAAAAACUGCGUUCUUCAGAAGGGCAUAGGCCAGGAUCAAAUGCCACCUCUGCCUGGAGAAAAACUUGGAAAGCAUCUGAGAACAGGGCCAAGAAGAGGAUUGUCUUGCUGAAUGCUAAUACUCAUCAGCCUAAGCAUUUGUCCCUGACUCCCACCUAGUGGCUUCUUCCAGCACUGCACAGGGACAAAGAACCACCACUGAUGCCACCUGAGCCCGGCCCAGGAGCCCCUUGGGAGCUGAGCGCAGAAAGAAAGCACGGACACACCUACUCCUUUCUCAUCUCUCACUCAAGUUCACACCUGUCACAGGGGAGCAGCCCAUUCUUCUGAUGGACCACAGAUGCUCCAGUGCCAGAAGAUCUGCAGUCCCAGAUGAGCAGCAGCAGUACAAGAUACAUUUCCCACUAUGUAAUCCCUCCCCUCUGCUAACAGUUGAUUCACUCUGGGGUAGACACUGGACCUAAGGUGUGCAUCCAUAGCUUGUGAAUAAAUUAAAAGUCUUUAAUGUCUAUUUCUUUUACACUUAACGCUUCUUCAUUGAUCUGGAGGACUUCGCUCAAAAAUAAUUAACUGGGUCAAUCAGAUCCUUUUCCUUAGAAACUUGAGUUUAAAAAGAAAACAUAUUGAGAAAACAUGGAAAGAAUUUGUCAGCCAACAAGAGUAAACUCAAACCUAACAGAAGUCUGUGGCAGUCACUCUGAGCUGUCUUCCUGAGGGCCACUUUCCCCCACUCUAUCAUCAUUCUUUUCUGACAGAGGCCACCUCCCUCUAUGGCAGGUGGAAGUGCCAAUACUUGCUUUCCCAGCCUCCCUUGCAGCUAGGGUAUGCACAGGUGAACAAAUUCUGGCCACUGCAGCUAAAUGGGAAGUCUGCUAGGGGGUUGCAGAGAGUUUCCCUCCUGAUUAAAAACAACAAAAACAUACUAAAGAAAUGAUUCUCUACCUCUGCACACAGUUGUAUAGUUGUGUCUUGUAAGGACAUGUUGCCUGCAGUUCUAGUGGCCAUCUUGCAACUGUUAUGGGAUGUGCCUGAGCAAAAACCACCCCUUGAGGAUGGCAAAGAAAAAAGAUGGGAAGAACCAGUACCCAUGAGGUCACUCAGAGCCACUUAUUUAACCCUGGGACUGUCUGUCUUCUGGACAUCUUGUUAGUGGUCUAUCUUGUUAUUGUUUACAUCAUUUUACUGGAAAAAGUAUCCCAACUGAUAUAGGUGUCACGAGGCAGAGUUGGACCAUGUCAGGCCAGUGUCAUGGCCAAGCAGGAAUUCUAGGUGUGAACAAUGCCAAUGUGUCUACAGAGGAGAAGGGAGCAAAUAUGCAAGGGAUGCACAGACAUCAUGCAUGAGAAGGCGCUGGGCAGUGCUGCCUAAUCCUUCAAACCAUCUUACUAGUUCCAACUCCAAUCCUAACCCACAUGGGACUUUAAAAAAAUAAUUCAACUGAGUCUCCAGGGUUGAACGCAGCGCUUCUUAAACUUUAAUGUGCUUACGAGUCACCUGGAGAUGGUUCAGCAAGUGUGAGAUGGGAGCCCAUAGUCUGCAUUUUUCACAAGCUACGAGGGGAUAAGAAAGCUGCUGAGCCACAGACCAAAAUUUGAGCAGCAACAACUUCUAACUAAAAGUGUCAAUCUAAAGCACUUGAUGAGUUUGCUCACCAGUCUGAAUUCUAUUCCCAUACAGAUUAAGACCUUGUGUGGAAUGUGGAUGUGCUGAUCAUAAAAUGACUUUAGGUCUGCAAGAUCUAAAACACAGACAGGCUAUCUCUGUCCAGAAUAAAAACCUUAACAUGCAGCCCUUACAACUUGGAAUGUUUAUAUGAACUUCUGACCCCCUAAAAGUACUUGCUUCGCCAUGCAUAGGUUAGUGAUGGCCAUAAUUACUCUAGAAGAUUUAUGAAUGCAAUCACUUUUAGGGAAAUCUCUUCAAAGGAAGGCAUUCCCUAAACCAUUGUAAAUAACCCCAAGACAAAACUGCAAAUCUGAAUGCAAGCUGUUUUCUACCAAUGCAUCUUGAAAAAACCAACAACAAUGUCAACUGCCUUUGGAUCAAAAAUAUUUUUAAUAAAUUUCCAAAAACUGUUUUAAAAGUUAGAUUCAUUGUUUAUACCAAAUGCUAAAAAAUAUUGUUGAUGGAUUGGAGUUAACCAUAAAAUAAAAAUCAAACCAUAAACUUACUAGAGGAAGAUACAGGUGAACAGUUAUCUGUUCUGAGGUUGGGAAAGGCGUUGCUAGGGCCAAAAGGAAAACAAGAAACCAAAAUAGGAAAGACUGAUAGAGUCAAGUACAGUUGUUUAAAAUUCUGUGUCUCAGAAAGCACCUAAACGUUAUUUAAAAACAGAGUGAGGAAAAUAUAUGCUACAAAUAAAGCAAACGGCUAAUAAAAGGUCAUUCAAAUAGAUAAGAAAAACACUAAAAUCCUAAUAGAAAACAACAGCAUAGACUACGAAUAGACUAGAGUGGGAGAGGUGCAUCCAAGAGGCUCAAGGUGAUUUCUGGGUGUACAGGGAAAAAUAUGGGAACUAUUUUUUAACCUAUCCUUUAAAACUCUAUUUUGGUGAACAGUGGAUACCCUAAAUACCCUGACUGACUUGAUCACUAUGUGUUAUAUACAUGUAAGGAAAUUUCACAUGUACCCCAC
rnacentral:lncRNA from 1 species